rnacentral:rRNA from 1 species
GAUGAACGCUGGCGGCGUGCUUAAUACAUGCAAGUCGAGCGAACGUACGAGAAUCUUUCUUUUCUUUUGUUACCGACGGACGGGUGAGUAACACGUAGAUAACCUAUCUCUUAGACUGGGAUAACUUCGGGAAACCGGAUCUAACGCCGGAUGAUAUUUUGAACCGCAGGGUUCAAAAGUGAAAGAUGGUUUUGCUGUCACUUAUAGAUGGAUCCGCGCUGCAUUAGCUAGUUGGUAAGGUAACGGCUUACCAAAGCAACGAUGCAUAGCCGACCUGAGAGGGUGAUCGGCAACGCUGGAACUGAGACGCGGUCCAGCCUAGAACGGGACGCAGCGGUGGGGAAGGUAACGCAGUGGGCGGAGGGCUAGCGGAGCGACGCGGCGCGGGUGAUGAGGUGCUUCGGAUCGUGAUGCUAUGUUAUUAGGGAAGAACAUAUGUGUAAGUUACUGUGCACAUGUUGACGGUACCUAGACAGAAAGCGACGGCUAACUACGUG